CGUCGGUUAGCUCAGUGGGUAGAGCACCAGAGUGUGACUCUGGGAGUCGCAGGUUCGAAUCCUGUACCGAGCUCCA
rnacentral:tRNA from 1 species